CGACAAGUGAAAUACGUUUUUAUUUGCAAAUCAGAUAAGAGAUCUGGGCACAGCGAGCAGCUAAACCAUGUGUAGAUACGCUUACCAAAUAUCAGAUACUGAUACUACCUUCUUGGCUAAAUUUAUCGGUCGCGUGAGCUUGUUACCUAAUUGAUGACAACAGGUAGGUGCUUCUGUCAAGCCAGCAACCGACCUCAGAUUAGCUUCACGACAAACGAGACGCAGUAUGGUGACACACGUGCAAAAGACGAUUAAAUACUUGACUACUGGACUUUGAAGGCUCAAUUGGCAACCGCACUGACGCAGUUGUGAAUGAGAUACUCUUUUUGAGCGGCCACACGCACAAUUCUGCUGAAAUUGACUGGCGAAGAACAAGGCUGACAAUAAGGCGGGCAAUCAACCAAAACGUCAUAAUAAUGAUGGCGUCCCCGUCGGCUUCUUCGGAUUUUACAGACAGGAUGCUUAUCUUGUUAACACGGUACCUUUUGCCGCCUGGCGUUAAAUUAAAACUGCAAUAAAGAAAUAAGAAUGGGGAAUGAUAAAGUCGCAUUUCAGUUCAGUCAGUUCAACGAAUUUGCUGGCAUGAUAUAAAUACAUUUUAUAAGCGAGAUUUAAGAGAUUUAAUUAAGUAUGGCAAUUGUUUUUCCCUGAUAAAUAAAGAUUAA